rnacentral:lncRNA from 1 species
CUUGCGCGCACUCGAGGGUGGUCUCGGAAGGUCGGGAGAGGGCCCGAGGCGGCCCGGCCACGCGCGUGCAUUGACGGUGAUGGCGGCGGUGGUGCUCCGGCGGUCUCGGCGGCGGACAGAGACGGCGAGUGCGAGCACGAGGUAUAGAAGAUAGAGGCGGAGCUCAUGGUGGUGCUCGUGGGAAGUAUGGGGGCUCGGAACAACGGGAACGCCCGCAGCUCCGACGAGCUCCGAGCUCGCCCAUGGUGGCCAUGGAGGAACACAGAGAGAGUGAGAAAGG